CUUGAGGAAUUCAAAUGCUUGAGUAUCUAAGACUCUUGCAUGUGAAGUCGAUAAUUUCUUGAGAGAAACCUUCAUUAAGGGCUAAAUAAACAAGAUCUACAUAUACAGAAAUUUACUUUCUCUGCAUUUGAGACACAGCUAAACUCAUCUGUCUGGAAAUCUGAAGACUUUUAUAGCAAAUCCUCCAGUGUCAAAAUGAACACAGAUAGCGGUGGGUGUGCUCGCAAACGUGCUGCAAUGUCUGUCACAUUAACAGCUGUGAAGAGAGUUCAGAGUUCUCCAAACCUAUUGGCCUCAGGUAUAACUGCUUACCAGGGAGAUAUUGCUCCUGAAUGGCUUUUCUAUUGUGUUGUGCGUUCCUGCAAUAUGACUGCAAGGAAGAGAAGGGUAACUGUAUU
rnacentral:lncRNA from 1 species